GGUCUCCCAGCCUGUGACAAAAUAGUGCAGAGUCAUCAGAGAAACUAACGUCAUCUUUUACACAAACACCAAUGUUUUGAAAAAAGUGAAACCUGAGUCCUCUGAAAUAAACACUCUUUGAAAGAGUACCCAGGGACUAAAAUUCUGCAGCAGUGCCUGACCACCUCUGGUGCACUGUCUCUUGGGCUUUGUGAACUUCUGAGGUGCCAAGAGGGGGAACUGGAUCUCUUUUUCAAAAGUAUAUGCCUUCUAAUAGGUUCUGGAGUACACUGACUUCAGAUUUUCAGCAAAUCAAAAUGGACUGUGUCCCCCCAAAAAGCUGGCCCUGGGGAAUGGAAGAGGCACUGAUCUUUGCAAGAACAGAAGACUUCUGUGAAAUGGAAUUCUGCCUGGCCUAGAAACUACUGUUUACAGUGACAUUUGUUGUUCCUUAAUCCAAUUAUGGCCUGAACAUCCCACAUAAAUCUGAAACUGAACAUUUUGCAGCCAUAGAAUAAGAGAAAAUGUUAAAUAUGAUCUGAUAGAUGAAGAUUUGGGAGACAAAGGGACAAAUCUUUAUAGAGUGAAUUAUAUUUGGAAAAGAUAUGUAUGAGUCUGUCACAAGAAAGUGUCAGUGACUAUUCCUUGGAAAGAGAUAAGUUACUGUUUACUUGUGACAUUCCUGGCACUGUGCUCAUUCACCCCUGCCAUGUCUACACAAUGUUUUACGUUUCCCAUAAUGCUUUGAAC
rnacentral:lncRNA from 1 species